rnacentral:rRNA from 1 species
UGAGGAAUAUUGGGCAAUGCCCGCAAGGGUGACCCAGCAACGCCGCGUGGAGGAUGAAUGUCGUAAGAUUGUAAACUCCUGUUAGAGGGGAAGAAUAGUACCGGUUGGACCGGUAUGUGACUGUACCCUCAGAGAAAGCCCCGGCUAACUACGUGCCAGCAGCCGCGGUAAUACGUAGGGGGCAAGCGUUGUCCGGAUUUACUGGGUGUAAAGGGCGCGCAGGCGGGAUAAAAAGUCAGUGGUGAAAUCCUACAGCUUAACUGUAGAACUGCCUUUGAUACUUUUAUUCUUGAGUUCGGGAGAGAGAGACGGAAUUCCAGGUGUAGUGGUGAAAUACGUAGAUAUCUGGAAGAACACCAGUUGCGAAGGCGGUCUCUUGGUCCGACACUGACGCUGAGGCGCGAAAGCGUGGGGAGCAAACA